GUGAAAGCCCUCUUAAAAAAGCAUGAGAAGGCAUUACAUGCACUGUCAAAUGCUCUUUUAGAAUACGAGACACUCAAUGCAGAAGAAAUAAAGAGGAUUCUUCUUCCUUAUCGAGAAGGACAGUUGCCAGACCAACAAGUAGAAGUAGAACAACAAGGGGAUCUUGUGUUGGCUUGAAGUUCUGUGACGUUUGCAUCGGACUCCAUUGUCAUCUCUGUAAAGUACCUGAAACAAGCGUGAAAGAAAAGGUGAUAUUUCAUAUUUAU
rnacentral:misc_RNA from 1 species